UGUUAAAAUUACAUGGAGCUUUCCAUUUAACCGAAUUUCAUCACAAUUAGCAGGCGACGUCGAAGCUCGAUCUCACGGUUGUCGAAUAUCUCCUCGUAUUCGACCGACGGCGGGCUAACUAGCAGGGAGGAUGGAAGGAAAAGCCGUACCACGAUAAUGGUAAUAGUCACCGACUUCUGUCUUAAAUUUAUUAUUACUACGAUUAUAUUGCAUAUGCUAUUACUUUGCAUCUAAUUAAUAUCUAAUAAAUGUCAUAUAAUAUACAUAGUUUUUUUUACUAUUAAAAACCUUUGUAGGCUCUAUAAUUUUGCUUUUUCAAUACAAAAUUUAAUAACAUUGAAAUGUUUCAAUUAUGAAUAAUAUUUUGGACAAGAUACUAUUUACACAUUAUAGAGUGUUAACGAUAACACAAUAUUUUAACGCAUUAAAAAAAUGUAUAGUUUACUUCCCGAUAUACGCGACAAAUAUAAAUUAUUAAAUAUAUAGGUACAGAUUUGAUUUGGAAGUUAUAUUUUUGUUCAACUUUUUUGUUGGAGGUAAUAAUACAUAUUUAAUAAUGGUUCAUAAUUGAUAUUUAUUUAAACAACAUUUUUCUUUACCAAAUACUUUAAAUAAUUGGUGAAAAACUUUGAAGAGUAGUUUAUUUUAGCCACUUUACAUUGUAAUUGUAUUCAGUUUACUUUACAUUGAAUAAUCUCAAUUUAGUUUAUUCUUUUUAUGUUCAACAAUUUCAUCGAAGGAUGGCGUUAACUUCUCGAUCGCAGCGUUCUCUAGUGUCUGUUUGUAAAAGCGACUUGUAAAGCACAAUUCCCGAGAUUGCUUUGUCAAGAGUUUUGUUGAAACCUAAACCUAAACCUAAACCUAAACCUAAUCCUAACCCUAACCCUAACUCUUACCCUCCCCCUGGAAUGUCCAACCUAUAUAUUCGAUCGUAUUUCAGACCAACAUAGACAAAUUCAUAUUAUUUACAUAGAACUGCGCCCACUUAUCCUCAAUAGCAUAGUCACCUUUUUCUCAUAGCUUCAAUCAUACCUUUUUCUAGUUAAAAUUGUACAUUCUUUGGUGUAACCAUACAUAGCAUCACGCACAAAUGUCACUCGCGAUUCUAAUGCUCUGUAAAUUAUACACAAUAUAUGUACAAGGAAUAUUAAUCCAAGUGGCGUCUUAUAAUGGUCAUUAGAGACAUACGAUUUCUACGAAAAAGAGUCAUUGUCAUAUUUUUGAAAAAGAAAGAACAGAAUGCAAAUGUACAUAGUACACACUGUGACAAGAACGAAAGAGCUGUACGCCUAUCACAUAGAUUUAUUCUUUGUGGAGAAUAUGAAAUCUCAAUAGCCUAAAUAUUUAUUUUCUUAUAUUCGAUAAAGGAAUUUAUAAUAUUAUUUAUCUUCUCAUUUCACUCAUUUCUUAUGACAGUCACCGAAGGACGUAUUAAGAUGUGAAAUUAUAGACAAACGAGAAUUAAAUAUAUUGCCAGUUUCUCUAUGGACGUUAUUGCUUGUCUAAAAUUUGUAUUUCGUUUUUGUAUAACAUUUUCGAUUUUUUUAAAUAAUAUCUGAAAUUGGGUCGUUGACAUAUUUAUAUAUAUAUAUAUGUAGUGUAUGAAAUUCACCUUCGUUCUUUCUUAAUCCCAGACUUCUAUACACUCAGUAUUUUCUCCUCUUUUUCUACUGUCUUCUUUCUCAUCAAGUAACAAUGCUAUUAUAGCCGUUUCUUUAAUAGUAAAUUUCGAUACUUUUGUAAUAUGGGCAAUAGUUGGAAAUGUGAUCUCGUAUGUUACCGACGCAUGGAUAAGUCAACGUUGUUGUGCCGGUACUAACCUGUUACAUGAGUUAUAAUUGUGAAUAUGUCGAUGCCCGUCAGGCGUUGUACUGUUAAGUGGCUGACAUUUAAUUCUGCAUUGUACCGACAGAACCGUAUCCGCGUGUCUUGCAGAUUUCGCCCGUAACAUAUACAUAUAGAAGUUAAUAUACAGUAUAAAUAAUAGCCUUAAGCAUAUGGUUAGUGCUAAGGAUGGACUGAAUAUUAUAGCUUAUUAAUAUGGUGAAUAAUUGACUGUCAAAUACCUUCGUGGUUUUUACGAAGUGUACGUUUUCAAUAAAUAUCUUGUAACUUCUACGUAUGCAAACCGUUUGAUAAUUGCACGAAAAUCGGGACCUAAGUGUUGCAAUUAUGGAGAUGCAGAAACGAUCCUAUUCCUCAAAACUCAGAUCUUAGACAUACCGAAUGUA